AUUGAACGCUAGCGGGAUGCCUUACACAUGCAAGUCGAACGGAGUGGCGAACGGGUGAGUAAUGUAUAGGAACGUGCCCAGUAGCGGGGGAUAACUACGCGAAAGCGUAGCUAAUACCGCAUACUCUUGGAGCGGCAGAUAUCGGAUUAGCUAGUUGGUGGGGUAACGGCUAACAAGGGCGACGAUCCUGAGCUGGUUUGAGAGGACGACCAGCCACACUGGGACUGGGAACCGGCCCAGACGCGUACGGGAGGCAGCAGUGGGGAAUUUUGGACAAUGGGUGAAACCCUGAUCCAGCCAUCCCGCGUGUGCGAUGAAGGCCUUCGGGUUGUAAAGCACUUUUGGCAGGAAAGCGGUACCUGCAGAAUAAGCACCGGCUAACUACGUGCCAGCAGCCGCGGUAAUUC
rnacentral:rRNA from 1 species